rnacentral:rRNA from 1 species
AAUCUACCUAGUAGUGGGGGAUAGCUCGGGGAAACUCGAAUUAAUACCGCAUACGACCUACGGGAGAAAGGGGGCAACUUGUUGCUCUCGCUAUUAGAUGAGCCUAAGUCGGAUUAGCUAGAUGGUGGGGUAAAGGCCUACCAUGGCGACGAUCUGUAGCUGGUCUGAGAGGAUGAUCAGCCACACCGGGACUGAGACACGGCCCGGACUCCUACGGGAGGCAGCAGUGGGGAAUAUUGGACAAUGGGGGCAACCCUGAUCCAGCCAUGCCGCGUGUGUGAAGAAGGCCUUUUGGUUGUAAAGCACUUUAAGCAGUGAAGAAGACUCCAUGGUUAAUACCCAUGGACGAUGACAUUAGCUGCAGAAUAAGCACCGGCUAACUCUGUGCCAGCAGCCGCGGUAAUACAGAGGGUGCAAGCGUUAAUCGGAAUUACUGGGCGUAAAGCGAGCGUAGGUGGCUUGAUAAGUCAGAUGUGAAAGCCCCGGGCUUAACCUGGGAACGGCAUCUGAUACUGUUAGGCUAGAGUAGGUGAGAGGAAGGUAGAAUUCCAGGUGUAGCGGUGAAAUGCGUAGAGAUCUGGAGGAAUACCGAUGGCGAAGGCAGCCUUCUG